rnacentral:rRNA from 1 species
UACGAAGGGGCUAGCGUUGCUCGGAAUCACUGGGCGUAAAGCGCACGUAGGCGGACUCUUAAGUCGGUGGUGAAAUCCUGGAGCUCAACUCCAGAACUGCCUUCGAUACUGAGAGUCUCGAGUCCGAGAGAGGUGAGUGGAACUGCGAGUGUAGAGGUGAAAUUCGUAGAUAUUCGCAAGAACACCAGUGGCGAAGGCGGCUCACUGGCUCGGUACUGACGCUGAGGUGCGAAAGCGUGGGAGCAAACAGG